CCCUUAGAUGUCCUGGGCCGCACGCGCGUUACACUGAUGCACUCAACGAGCUUAUAACCUUGGCCGAGAGGCCUGGGCAAUCUUGCUAACGUGCAUCGUGAUAGGGAUAGAUUAUUGAAAUUAUUAAUCUUGAACGAGGAAUUCCUAGUAAACGCAGAUCAUCAAUCUGCAUUGAUUACGUCCCUGCCCUUUGUACACACCGCCCGUCGCACCUACCGAUUGGAUGGUCCGGUGAAGCCUCGGGAUUGUGGUUCUUGCCGCUUUAUUGUGGCGUGACCGCGAGAACUUGUCUAAACCUUAUCAUCUAGAGGAAGGUGAAGUCGUAACA
rnacentral:rRNA from 1 species